rnacentral:rRNA from 1 species
AUCACUAAGCGGAGGAAAAGAAACUAACAAGGAUUCCCCUAGUAACGGCGAGUGAAGCGGGAUGAGCCCAGCACCGAAUCCCCUGCCUCGGAGGUAGGUGACCUGUGGUGUUUAGGACAGCCUCUGUGGCAGUGUUCUGGCGUCUGAGUCUCCCUGAUCGGGGCCUUUCCCAUAGCGGGUGUCAGGCCUCUACUGGCGCCGGUCGCUGUCGCUCUGAGCGUCCUUGGAGUCGGGUUGUUUGGGAAUGCAGCCCAAAGUGGGUGGUAAACUCCAUCUAAGGCUAAAUACAGACACGAGUCCGAUAGCGGACAAGUACCGUGAGGGAAAGUU